GCAUAUCAAUAAGCGGAGGAAAAGAAACCAACAGGGAUUGCCUCAGUAACGGCGAGUGAAGCGGCAACAGCUCAAAUUUGAAAUCUGGCUCCUUCGGGGCCCGAGUUGUAAUUUGUAGAAGAUGCUUCGGGUGUGGCUCCGGUCUAAGUUCCUUGGAACAGGACGUCACAGAGGGUGAGAAUCCCGUACGUGGCCGGUGGCCUACGCCCGUGUGAAGCUCUUUCGACGAGUCGAGUUGUUUGGGAAUGCAGCUCUAAAUGGGUGGUAAAUUUCAUCUAAAGCUAAAUAUUGGCCAGAGACCGAUAGCGCACAAGUAGAGUGAUCGAAAGAUGAAAAGCACUUUGGAAAGAGAGUCAAACAGUACGUGAAAUUGUUGAAAGGGAAGCGCUUGCAACCAGACUUGGGCGCCGUCGAUCACCCGGUGUUCUCACCGGUGCACUCGGCGGCGUACAGGCCAGCAUCGGUUUGGGUGGCCAGAUAAAGGUCGCGGGAAUGUGGCUCUCUCCGGGGAGUGUUAUAGCCCGUGGCGCCAUGUGGCCCACCUGGACCGAGGACCGCGCUUCGGCUAGGAUGCUGGCGUAAUGGUUGUAAGCGACCCGUCUUGAAACACGGACCAAGGAGUCUAACAUCUAUGCGAGUGUUUGGGUGUCAAACCCAUACGCGUAAUGAAAGUGAACGGAGGUAAGAGCCCUUAAGGGUGCAUUAUCGACCGAUCCUGAUGUCUUCGGAUGGAUUUGAGUAAGAGCAUAGCUGUUGGGACCCGAAAGAUGGUGAACUAUGCCUGAAUAGGGUGAAGCCAGAGGAAACUCUGGUGGAGGCUCGCAGCGGUUCUGACGUGCAAAUCGAUCGUCAAAUUUGGGUAUAGGGGCGAAAGACUAAUCGAACCAUCUAGUAGCUGGUUCCUGCCGA
rnacentral:rRNA from 1 species